rnacentral:lncRNA from 1 species
UUAAUCUAAUUUACGGUGACAUUUUGGUGAGCAAGAAGGAACCCAAAAUGGACCUCCAGUGAUACUCAAAUCUUGGCCAACAACCAGAGGUCUGAUACCAGCAAAAUGACUUUCACUCACCCAACCUCACUGGAAUCCGUGGGCAAUAUCUGGAAUCCCUUGAGAAGAACAUACAAGGACUCUUGCUUAAUCCAGUGUGUACACAUUAAAAAAUGGCCACCUAGUGCCUUAAGCACCCAAGUCUCUUGGGAUCACUGAGACACAAGAAAGGGAACAAUUGACUCCAGAGUGACA